UAGCAUGGAUGGUGAGCUAGGAAAGCUA
rnacentral:piRNA from 1 species